AUUGAACGCUGGCGGCAUGCUUUACACAUGCAAGUCGAACGGUAACAGGGUGCUUGCACCGCUGACGAGUGGCGAACGGGUGAGUAAUGCGUCGGAACGUGCCGAGUAGUGGGGGAUAACGCAGCGAAAGUUGUGCUAAUACCGCAUACGUACUGAGGUAGAAAGUGGGGGACCUUCGGGCCUCACGCUAUUCGAGCGGCCGACGUCUGAUUAGCUAGUAGGUGAGGUAAAGGCUCACCUAGGCGACGAUCAGUAGCGGGUCUGAGAGGAUGAUCCGCCACACUGGGACUGGGACACGGGCCAGAGUCCUACGGGAGGCAGCAGUGGGGAAUUUUGGACAAUGGGCGAAAGCCUGAUCCAGCCAUGCCGCGUGUCUGAAGAAGGCAUUCGGGUUGUAAAGGACUUUUGUCGGGGAGGAAAUCCCCAGCGCUAAUACCGCUGGGGGAUGACAGUACCUGAAGAAUAAGCACCGGCUAACUACGUGCCAGCCGCCGCCGUAA
rnacentral:rRNA from 1 species